UCUAAAAGUUUUCAGGCUAACUUGAUCUGUUCUUGCAUUUUGUCUAUAGGGAGAAGGCUUUUCUUAGAGCUGUUUCUCUCUAUGCCCAUGGACAUUACCAAGUUACCAGCUUCUUUGCCUCUAAGUAGAGGACACACUAUAUAAUGCAAUAAAAAAAACCCCAAGGAAUCUGCCACCAUGUCAUCCCUCAGAUCCUAAAGAUCUUAGGUACUAUACCUUUUUCGUCAUCUUCCUUUGCUUCACAUAUAAUUUUCAAGGUAUUUAAUGUACCUACUGGACAAUAAUAAAAAAUCAUUUACCCUACUUUCUCCUAUAUUGUGUUCUUUCUUGUAGAGAAAAAUAAUGUAAAAUGAAACCUGAGAAGCAUUUGUCAUCUGUAUGGAUUUGCUCUGUUUUGUAUAUGAAGAAUUGGCUAAAGAGGUAAAAAAUGUGUCCCGGAGACACAGCUCUGCAAUGCUACAGCCCCAAAUAGAAUACAGGUGACCUAAUGUCUAGCCAUGAUUGUAUCACUUUAAAUACCACUGUGAGGAGCCCCUUUACCCCUAGACAUGUCUGUGACGUGACCCAGACCUCAGAGACGACCUCAGCAACCCCUAUGAGAUCACAAUAAAGUGAUCCGAUUCCCUGAUACGAAGCUGUACACAGUAAGGCAGCAGCCAGUCUGUAUGCACGCUAUCCGAAGUGUUACUGGGGGGAGUCUUUGGUUGGAAGAAGUUUAGACACAAAAUAAGGAUUCAUUGGUUUAUUUCUAUGGAGCAAGAGAAAAGUAUCUUCAACUUGUCUCCACCAAAGCUAAGUGUCAGUUAGUUACUGAUCCCUCUAUGUGCUCAGAGAUGGAAAUGGCAGAAAACUGGACUUGUCUGGCCCUGCACAGAGAUUAGGCAAACGUUUUCUCAUUCAAUUUCUGGUCUUUCUGAUACCCAGAGAAUCAUAAAAUUGAGAAGGUCAGAGGGGGUCUUUAACUCCCAGAUGAAAGGAGACAAAGAAGAAGGAACAUUUCUCCUUCCUAUCUGUGCAAUGACUCUGCACCCAGAACUCUCCCAAAUUGAUGUUUGCAUGUGUAAGGGGAGAAGCCUCUUUUACUGAAACUCGAGAAGACGUUGCUAUAAAAAAUAAUUAUCAUUUCCAUUCUGAAGCUCACUCUGUGGCCUAGUACACCUGACACAUCAGAGCACGUCAACAAGAGACUGCACACCCCAGCAAGCAUUCAUUUUAUUUCAAGCACGGGCCCUACAAGAGAAGAAGGUAUUGCUUGCUUCUGAUUUAGUUUGAUAAAAACCCAUACCCUGCAACUUAAUUUCUCAUGUUUAUGGUUUGUUUUCUUUUGUGUCACUCUCUGAUAUCAGCUGUAAUUUGAUUUGCUAGCUUACAGAACCAUUUUAUGGGCCCUGGAAUUCUUUUCUUUCUCUGUAGACUGACAUAAGAAUAUAGGUGCAAGGUGCACCAAUAACUUGGCUGAAGUUAAUAACGCAGAGGUGUGCUGGGUUGCACGGGUGUGGAAGGCUAUUUCCUCACAGCACCCACAGCAGAACAUUCAUUCAGGAGAAGCCUGCAGAACCUCCAGAGGUCGCACUGCCUCACCAGUAAGAUCCCAGGCCCUGUGCUUUGCCUGAACAGCAUCUGGAAACUUUUCCUCCCUCGCUGCGUCUCCUCAGCUACCUGCAGCUUCCUUUCCAAGGGCUGUUCUCACAUAUGGCUUUCUGGACCCAUAAGCACUGUGGACUAGCUUGCUAGCAGUGUCUGCCUUAGGUGGAAAUAACAGGGAAGCUGAGUCAAUCAUGUUAGCAAGAUG
rnacentral:lncRNA from 1 species